rnacentral:rRNA from 1 species
UGGGGAAUAUUGGACAAUGGGGGCAACCCUGAUCCAGCAAUACCGCGUGUGUGAAGACGGCCUUCGGGUUGUAAAGCACUUUAGUUGGGGAAGAAGGUUACUAGUUUAAGAGAUGAGUAAUUUGACUGUACCCAAAGAAUAAGCACCGGCUAACUCUGUGCCAGCAGCCGCGGUAAUACAGAGGGUGCGAGCGUUAAUCGGAAUUACUGGGCGUAAAGGGCGCGUAGGCGGUGAAUUAAGUUAGAUGUGAAAUCCCUGGGCUUAACCUAGGAACUGCAUCUAAUACUGAUUUGCUGGAGUGCGGUAGAGGGUAGUGGAAUUUCCGGUGUAGCGGUGAAAUGCGUAGAUAUCGGAAGGAACACCAGUGGCGAAGGCGGCUACCUGGACUGACACUGACGCUGAGGCGCGAGAGCGUGGGGAGCAAACAG